rnacentral:lncRNA from 1 species
GUGACAAGAGGGCUAAAUCUUCUAUUGAGGAGACCUGAUCGAAAGUUUCCUGGUAUCUUUGGAGGUGGAGAAUCACAUGCUGAAUGAAAUCAUUUUAAGGGUACUGAGUCAGACACAGCAAUCUCCGGCAACAGAAAAAGUGAAAAAGGAAACAUUUAAAGUAAGACAACUGUGUGAUGCUGGGACUCACAGUGCAGUGCCUUCUGUUGUAGCAAGUGUCUAUAUUGCUAUGAACAACCCAGACAAUGCCAGAAUGUUGUAGCAGUAAGGACCACAGACCCACAUUUCAGCUUAAGACCAUCAUUUACUGAAAUCUGCUUAUAGGAAAAUGUGAUUAGCUGGAAGGUGAGUAGUUUGAUUGGUCUUCCCUCUUAGUAGUUCGAAGUUACAAAUAAGUUACAAAUGCUAUUUUAUAGUUACAAGGAAUACUUGUAUUUGAAUAGUGGUAACUCAUUUUUAAUUGAUCUGCCAUCCAUGUUGUCCUUCUAAGAAUUCUCUUUUUAGUCAGUGGUCUCGUCUGAUGGAACAAUAUCAUACCCAGAGAUUUCUUGUAACACAAAAGAACCCUGAGCUUCUUAGGUAGGAGGGGUAAAAGGAAAACAGAUGAAGAGAGCCAAAUAGCCCCAUUUGGUUGAUGUAGAUAUAGAUGGGUCUUUCAAUCCAUUUUUGAAACUGGCUGAUAGGGCUACCAC